UUUGGAACACUUCAUGUGCUAAGGAAUUUUCUUCGUAGUACAAUUCACAUUUAACUUCCUACAGAUGUGCGUUUGUGUGAAGCUUUUGAUAGAUUUAUGUUUGCUGCAGUUUCAUUUCAGUUAAAUAACCGCUUGUGAUGUAACAAUCAGAUGUUUGCACAACCAGAUGCAGCUUCGUGUAGUUUGGUUGUAUGAGACUUUUCAGAAUGUAACAUGAUCUUGUUAACUUGCAAGCUUGCAGUUUCAGCAGGGAUUACAGUAAAUUGGAACAUUUCUUAUUGUUUAGGGAUGUCAAGAUUUCGUGAACCAGAGGCACCGCAUAGGAACCUAAGACAUUUCUGCAGCCGGAACAUCACGGCAAAGCAUCUGAUCUGCAUGCUGCGACAAGGUAUGGCUGGGCCUGGUGAUGAAGUGUAAGCAGAACAUGCUAUGCUGCGAAUUGGUGCCAAUCUUCACAUCCGAGUUGUUCCCACGACAGUCAAGCACCACUGUGAUUUGCUUCAUUGGCAAGGUAAUAUACUAUGGUGCCCUGCAAGCUCUCACCAAAGCAACACAUUCCACUGGUUUUCUGUCAGAGUGCCAUUAUAGAAUUUCGAAUAAACUAUGCUUGUCAGAUGUGUGACAUGCCCCGUCUUAAAAUCAGAGCGCUUCAGUAAUAAUGUUUGAAUGGGUGUACAUAAAAACACACGUAAAGUAUACUUAUGUAUUUCUUUUACAAGUCCUCUUCACCCGACGUUUUUCCAACUUAAAAUUACGCUUUGCUGUACAUUUGUUUUAUGCACAAACCAUUACAGCAACACAACACUGCAGUAAAAUGAGUACAAAUGAUAAAGCAUGCAGUACACCUGCAAGAAUUACAUUUGCAUACUUGUAGUACAUAUGAAAAUGAGCUACCGAUCUUUUUCAGGUUGCAUACUCUUAUAGGUCAUACAUGUCAAGCGCACUCAUAGGUCACACAAAACUCGUUCAAGGCUGAUCUCAAAUCUCAGUGACUUAUGUUAAGUGACAUCGGACCAGUCUAAAGAAACCUGGCUCAAAUAGGGAAAUAAGUAGGUUCGAACAGGGUCAAAUGGGAGUGGACUAAACGGGGACAAACAGGUCUGGGCUAAAUGGGUUCAAACGGGGGCAAACAGGUCUGGGCUAAAUGGGUUCAAACGGGGACAAACAGGUCUGGGCUAAAUGGGUUCAAACGGGGACAAACAGGUCUGGGCUAAAUGGGUUCAAACGGGGACAAACAGGUCUGGGCUAAAUGGGUUCA